rnacentral:SRP_RNA from 1 species
GCCAGGCGUGGUGGUGUAUGCCUGUAAUCCCAGUUACUCAGGAGGCUGAGGCAGAGAAUUGCUUGAACCUGGGAGGCGGAGGUUUCAGUGAGCCGAGAUCGCGCCAUUGCGCUCCAGCCUGGGCGACGAGUGAAACACUGUUUCAAAAAACAAAAACAAAAACAAAAANNNNNNNNNNAGGCGUGAGCCACUGCGCCCAGCCCCUUUUUCUGUUUUGUUUUUGUUUUUGUUUUUUGAAACAGUGUUUCACUCGUCGCCCAGGCUGGAGCGCAAUGGCGCGAUCUCGGCUCACUGAAACCUCCGCCUCCCAGGUUCAAGCAAUUCUCUG